rnacentral:rRNA from 1 species
UAGGGAAUCUUCCGCAAUGGGCGAAAGCCUGACGGAGCAACGCCGCGUGAGUGAUGAAGGUCUUCGGAUCGUAAAACUCUGUUAUUAGGGAAGAACAUAUGUGUAAGUAACUGUGCACAUCUUGACGGUACCUAAUCAGAAAGCCACGGCUAACUACGUGCCAGCAGCCGCGGUAAUACGUAGGUGGCAAGCGUUAUCCGGAAUUAUUGGGCGUAAAGCGCGCGUAGGCGGUUUUUUAAGUCUGAUGUGAAAGCCCACGGCUCAACCGUGGAGGGUCAUUGGAAACUGGAAAACUUGAGUGCAGAAGAGGAAAGUGGAAUUCCAUGUGUAGCGGUGAAAUGCGCAGAGAUAUGGAGGAACACCAGUGGCGAAGGCGACUUUCUGGUCUGUAACUGACGCUGAUGUGCGAAAGCGUGGGGAUCAAACAGGAUUAGAUACCCUGGUAGUCCACGCCGUAAACGAUGAGUGCUAAGUGUUAGGGGGUUUCCGCCCCUUAGUGCUGCAGCUAACGCAUUAAGCACUCCGCCUGGGGAGUACGACANGCAGAGGUUG